GAUGAACGCUGGCGGCGUGCCUAAUACAUGCAAGUCGAGCGAACGGAUGAGAAGCUUGCUUCUCUGAUGUUAGCGGCGGACGGGUGAGUAACACGUGGAUAACCUACCUAUAAGACUGGGAUAACUUCGGGAAACCGGAGCUAAUACCGGAUAAUAUUUUGAACCGCAUGGUUCUAAAGUGAAAGACGGUCUUGCUGUCACUUAUAGAUGGAUCCGCGCUGCAUUAGCUAGUUGGUAAGGUAACGGCUUACCAAGGCGACGAUACAUAGCCGACCUGAGAGGGUGAUCGGCCACACUGGAACUGAGACACGGUCCAGACUCCUACGGGAGGCAGCAGUAGGGAAUCUUCCGCAAUGGGCGAAAGCCUGACGGAGCAACGCCGCGUGAGUGAUGAAGGUCUUCGGAUCGUAAAACUCUGUUAUUAGGGAAGAACAUAUGUGUAAGUAACUGUGCACAUCUUGACGGUACCUAAUCAGAAAGCCACGGCUAACUACGUG
rnacentral:rRNA from 1 species